UACAGAGGGUGCAAGCGUUGUUCGGAUUUACUGGGCGUAAAGCGCGUGUAGGCGGUGACAUAAGUCGGAUGUGAAAUCCCUCGGCUCAACCGAGGACGUGCACCCGAUACUGUGCCACUUGAGUACCGGAGGGGAUGGCGGAAUUCCUGGUGUAGAGGUGAAAUUCGUAGAUAUCAGGAGGAACACCUGUGGCGAAGGCGGCCAUCUGGACGGUAACUGGACGCUGAGACGCGAAAGCGUGGGUAGCAAACAGG
rnacentral:rRNA from 1 species